GAGCCAGAAAUUAAAUGAGCCUCGUUAAGAUCAAUCAACAGCUCAAUCAAAUGAAUGGAAUUAAUUUAAAUCGAUAAUAACUCUCCAGAAAAUUAUUAUACUAACCCUUAAAGCCUUAUCCUUUUGUUCAAGUUACAAUAACAAAUUAAUGGACACACCAAUGAGAUGUUUUAUUUUUGUUUUAGAUUAGAUAAUGUCUCAAAUUUUUCAGCUUAGAUAGCUUUUACACCAGAAUCUCAGUAAAUCCUCAUGAGCCUAACCUUCAAUCCUCUUAUACUUCUAAUUCAUCCUUUCACUUUGGUUCUCCCCCUACAAAUAAAAACAUCAUCAUCAUCACCAUCAUCAUAAUUUGUUGUAAAGAAACCUCUUGAUUACAAGACUUCAUUCAAGACCUUACAAAGUAUACAAAGGAAAAAGUUCAAUUGAAAGCAAGCCAAACUUACAAACUAUGAUUGGACAUCGAAGGAUGCCAAGAGGUGGAGAGCGAACGUACAAAGUGUAAUUCUAAUGGCUACUUAUUCCUAUCCAAACUCCUCCUAAAUAUCUUCUUGUUAUUAUCAUCUUCACAUCAUCCUUAACUCUCGUUAUUCACGCAGAAUCUCAGGAUCAAAUUCAUCAUCAUCAUCAUCCUCAUCAUUUCCUGCUGUAUUAAGUUGUCAGCCUUCAAAACUUGAUCAACAAUAAGCGUACAAAAUUGGCCUUUGGUUAUCCUUGUGUUGAUGCCCCAGACAAAUGGUUUUAUCAUCCUAAACCUUCCAUUUUUGUUAUAUUGUUGAGUUUUCGACUUGCUCAGCACACGUUCAGCACGCACACAACAACAAAAAACAGUUUUGCUUGUAGUUGAUUGAAUCAGGAUUAACAAGUCACGGAACCAUCUUGAUUGCAAACAAUCAACACCCAAAAGAUUCAACUUGAGAAAUGGAUUGAAGAUUGAAACAACAUUGAUAAAGAGUUAUUUGCUCCUCAUCAAUAAUCAACUAUCACAAUUGUAUCUUUGUAAGCAAAUAAUAUUAUCAACUGAAAACAACUGUUAAUACUCUCAGGCCACUCAAAGAGGCAACAGAAAUUAGUUAUGGAGGGAAAACAUUAAAUUAUGAUUAAAUGAUGAAUUGAAUAUUAUUGUAUCAUAAUGGUUAUCUAACAAUGCUAAGAUGAAUAAGGAAGAAAGCAAAAUCUACUUGAUCAUCAUCAUCAUCAUUUCAGUUAUAAGUGAUGAAAUCAUGUUGACACAUAAAUUGAAAAGCAAAUGAAGUGUUGUUGCUGUUGUUAUUGUUGAUGAUGAAGAUGGAGAUGAUGAUGAUGAUGAUAGUGAUGAUGAUCAAGUGUAAGUAAGUAAAUAAAUAAAAUACAUUGUCAUGGAUGAAAAUUGGUAUAAAAGGUAACAUAAAUAAAUAAAUAAAAAUGUAUCAACAUUGAAUAACAUUUCAACAUUUUUCUUCCUCUUCUUAUACUCUUCUGCUUUUUGAUGUGUUUUUGAAGGACGUGAAUUUUCAUACUGUUAUACACAUGGUGAACAUUAUCAUCAUCACCAUGGUCGUCAACGAUAUCAAUAUCAUCAUCUGGAUGGAUCACGAUUUUUUCUCGUAACAGCAAAAAAAGAGCCUCUUCAAAAUGUAUAUACAAAAAGCUCUUAUACAAUAUUUAUAGCAGCUAAAAAUUGAAGAGAGUUUUAACAUUUAAAUUGUAUUUCAAGUUGAUUUUGUCUUUGGUUAAACUUGUUGGUUGCAUGAUGUGAAAGUGAAAAUGGAUGAUCAAGAUGAUUGUGCAUGUUGAUGGUAAAGGAUAAAUUGAAAUGAUGAAAAAAAAGGGACAAAAAUUUGACAAAAGUUAUGAUGACAAAAGAUGGCGUAUCAGUUGUUGGUAUAAAAUGUAAUUUAAUACACUUUUACAGUUAACUGUCAUCAUAAAAUUGUGAUUGUUGUGAUGAUUAUGAUUAUUAUUAUUAUGGUUUAUAAUGAUAAUGAUAAAAGGAUCGUUUACAGAGAGCGCAAUAAGGUUUAAUCGUGAUAUGAAUAAACGAUUAACUUUGAUAAUGAUGAUGAUAGUAAGUGAAGGCUCGAUGGAUAGGCAUAAAGACGAUCCAAAAAUUGGUGUAAGAAAAAGUAUGGAUGGGUAAAGAAGGAGAGGGAUGAGGAGGAGGAAGAUAAAACUGCAGGGGGUUUGAUGAUAUUAUGUUGGCGAUUGAUGAGAGAUGUAUAAAGACAGGCAGAGAGAAAGAGAGAUUGAUGAAAACGAUAUAAGAAAUCAGCAAGGAGUCAAAAUGCCAAGUAACCAUAUGAAUAUGUUUCUAGUUGACACAUUUGGUGUUAUAAGUUGGACUUUAUUUUAGUCUUUUUGUUGCACUCUUGUUGCCUUCUUGAUGGUGUUACAUUGUACACAACAACGAUGGUUAAGUGAGGCAGGAUGAUGAUGAAAAAAGAGGCAAAAAAGGCACAAAUGAAAAGGUAAUUUGGUUUCAAGAACCCCUGAUGGGCUUAGUGUCAUCACUGAAAUACUGAAAUCAGAAUAGGCACAGAAGGCAAAGAUAGAUGGAGUGAGUGUUUGAAACAAAAAAAGACAAAAAUUGUUUGUUUGUUUAUUUUCCUGAUUAGGUAUUUUCAAAAGUCACUUACUGUUUCAUUUUUUAUUUGGUUUUGUUUUCAACUCUAUUUGACUAUUAACUUUAACCAUUAACUGUUAACAUCAUUUAACAUUGGCAAUUUACAAUUGUCUAUGUCAUUGUCAUUGUCAUCCUAUUAUAUGUGCAUCUUUUUGCGCUCAUCAUCUUUUCGGUAAAUUAAUCAAAGAUUGAGAGAAAGAAAAGGAAGAAUCUAAUUCUCGAUAUUUUUUUGCUUGCAUUCAAAUUAAAACUGAUGGUGGAUAAAUGAGCUUUUUGCUGUAAACUGGAGUCGUUUGGGUUCAAUGAAUAUUGUCAACAGCCAACAAGAAGAAGAUGAACAACGCAGAAUGAACAGUUGUUGGAAAGAAACAGAUUUCACUUUUUUUCAUUUCAGACCAAAAAAUCAUAUCAACUCUUGAUUAACGGUUGACUUUUAAAGCCUCAAUCAUCAGACACUUCAUCUUUGGAUUUAAAAAUUUGCUGCCGUUAAGAUGGCCUACCAAUUUUGCGCUACAAUUUAACAGCAGAUUACGUUGCGAUUAUGAUUUUGAUUAGUAUUAAACUUGACUGCCAUUUGGUUGAAUGCUUAAGGCUUACCGAGGUUAACGCGUGCAGUUGAUAUUAACACGUGUUGAUUGUCAAGUGAGAAAGGAUAAUCUACUUUUCACUUUUGGAUUAGCUUGAUCCAGGCAAAAAAAGACUAAUCUGAUUGCUUCUAUAUUUUGACACUAAUCAUUUUUGUUCUUGAUUUUUUUUUCAUCAUCAACAGAUUAACUUGUAAGUAAGGUUAAUCAGUAUUGUAUGUAUAUUAAAGUCAAAUUAAGAUCCAAUCUAA